rnacentral:rRNA from 1 species
UACAGAGGGUGCGAGCGUUAAUCGGAAUUACUGGGCGUAAAGGGCGCGUAGGCGGAUCGAUGGGUGUGAUGUGAAAGCCCUGGGCUUAACCUGGGAAGUGCAUCGCAAACUAUGGAUCUGGAGUAGAUGAGAGGGUGGCGGAAUUUCCGGUGUAGCGGUGAAAUGCGUAGAGAUCGGAAGGAACGUCGAUGGCGAAGGCAGCCACCUGGCAUCAUACUGACGCUGAGGCGCGAAAGCGUGGGGAGCGAACAGG